AACGAACGCUGGCGGCAGGCCUAACACAUGCAAGUCGAACGCCCCGCAAGGGGAGUGGCAGACGGGUGAGUAACGCGUGGGAACCUACCUUACGGUCGGGAAUAGCUCAGGGAAACUUGAGGUAAUACCGGAUACGCCCUUACGGGGAAGGAUUUAUCGCCGUUAGAUGGGCCCGCGUCGGAUUAGCUAGUUGGUGAGGUAACGGCUCACCAAGGCGACGAUCCGUAGCUGGUCUGAGAGGAUGANCAGCCACACU
rnacentral:rRNA from 1 species